ensembl:lncRNA
AGUUAUCAGACCUCCAGAGGGCAGAAGAGAGACACCUGGGAAUUCUGAUAGGCCAACAAGGCUUGAGCCAAUCAUUCAACAGCAGCAGCCAAUGUGUGAUCAAAUUCUUCGAGAGAUCUUAACCUUCAUAGAAAUGAUUAAGCAUUACACUGCAAAAAUUCCAGGCGAACAGAUCAACCCUGGAUGUGUUUCCAGAUUUGACUUCCAGUGUCCUCGCUGUAAGACUUGAGGAGAGUCGAGGGCCAACUUUCAGAUCAAGACUUAAAACAAUAACCUGACCAUAUAUUUGGGACUGUCUGGAGGGAUGACCACCAAGGAGAAUGUGUGGAGAAUCCUCUCAAAACUCCUUACAAAUGGCCUGGUACUGUGCGUCACGUCACAGCCAUUCUGAAGUUCCUGAUGGAUACACAAAACGAUGGAUGCAGCUAGCCCCUGACAGAGAUGGAGGGAGAAAAGGGAGAGAGUGAGUGAGAAGUGACCAGACCUUGGAGAAGUGAUAGAGAAAACUGAAUGCAUACCAGAGCUUAAAUUGAAAGAAAGCUUAAAUAGA